rnacentral:rRNA from 1 species
AUAAACGCUAGCGGCAGGCCUAACACAUGCAAGUCGAGGGGCAGCGUAACGGGUAGCAAUACUUGUUGACGGCGACCGGCGCACGGGUGCGUAACGCGUAUGUAACCUACCGUUCACAGGGGGAUAGUCAGAGGAAACUUUGAAUAAUACCGCAUAAAACAGGGGUCCGGCAUCGGAAUAUUUGUUAAAGGUGGCGACACGGUGAACGAUGGGCAUGCGUUCGAUUAGAUAGUUGGUGAGGUAACGGCUCACCAAGUCUACGAUCGAUAGGGGGUCUGAGAGGAUUAUCCCCCACACUGGUACUGAGAUACGGACCAGACUCCUACGGGAGGCAGCAGUGAGGAAUAUUGGGCAAUGGGCGAAAGCCUGACCCAGCCAUGCCGCGUGCAGGAAGACGGCCCUAUGGGUUGUAAACUGCUUUUACUCGGGAAGAAUAAGGGUUACGUGUAACCCGAUGACGGUACCGAAAGAAUAAGCAUCGGCUAACUCCGUGCCAGCAGCCGCGGUAAUACGGAGGAUGCGAGCGUUAUCCGGAAUUAUUGGGUUUAAAGGGUCCGCAGGCGGACAGGUAAGUCAGUAGUGAAAAACCGGGGCUUAACCCCGGUCGUGCUACAGAAACUGCCUGACUAGAGAAAGUUUGGCGUUGGCGGAAUGUGACAAGUAGCGGUGAAAUGCAUAGAUAUGUCACAGAACACCGAUAGCGAAAGCAGCUGACGAAGACUAUUCUGACGCUCAGGGACGAAAGCGUGGGGAGCAAACAGGAUUAGAUACCCUGGUAGUCCACGCAGUAAACGAUGGGUACCAUCUUUUUGUCCGCAAGGAUGAGAGGAUCAUCGAAAGAGAUAAGUACCCCACCUGGGGAGUACGUGCGCAAGCAUGAAACUCAAAGGAAUUGACGGGGGCCCGCACAAGCAGUGGAGUAUGUGGUUUAAUUCGAAGCAACGCGAAGAACCUUACCAGGUCUUGACAUCCGAUGCAUAGCACAGAGAUGUGUGAAAUCCUUCGGGACAUCGAGACAGGUGGUGCAUGGUUGUCGUCAGCUCGUGUCGUGAGAUGUUGGGUUAAGUCCCGCAACGAGCGCAACCCCUAUCUUUAGUAGCCAGCGGUUUGGCCGGGCACUCUAGAGAGACUGCCAGGGAUAACCUGGAGGAAGGUGGGGAUGACGUCAAAUCAUCAUGCCCCUUAUGAGCAGGGCUACACACGUGCUACAAUGGCGUAAACAAAGGGAGGCAGAACCGCGAGGUCGAGCAAAUCCCAAAAAUAACGUCUCAGUUCGGAUUGUAGUCUGCAACUCGACUACAUGAAGCUGGAAUCGCUAGUAAUCGCGCAUCAGCCAUGGCGCGGUGAAUACGUUCCCGGGCCUUGUACACACCGCCCGUCAAGCCAUGGAAGUCUGGGGGACCUGAAGACGGUAACCGCGAGGAGCCGUUAAGGGUAAAACAGGUAACUAGGGCU